GCGAUCUCUGGACUACUAGUAUUUGAGGUGCAUCUCUGUCUUUAUUUUACGAAUAGAGCGAUCUCUGGACUACUAGUAUUUGAGGUGCAUCUCUGUCUUUAUUUUACGAAUAGAGCGAUCUCUGGACUACUAGUAUUUGAGGUGCAUCUCUGUCUUUAUUUUACGAAUAGAGCGAUCUCUGGACUACUAGUAUUUGAGGUGCAUCUCUGUCUUUAUUUUACGAAUAGAGCGAUCUCUGGACUACUAGUAUUUGAGGUGCAUCUCUGUCUUUAUUUUACGAAUAGAGCGAUCUCUGGACUACUAGUAUUUGAGGUGCAUCUCUGUCUUUAUUUUACGAAUAGAGCGAUCUCUGGACUACUAGUAUUUGAGGUGCAUCUCUGUCUUUAUUUUACGAAUAGAGCGAUCUCUGGACUACUAGUAUUUGAGGUGCAUCUCUGUCUUUAUUUUACGAAUAGAGCGAUCUCUGGACUACUAGUAUUUGAGGUGCAUCUCUGUCUUUAUUUUACGAAUAGAGCGAUCUCUGGACUACUAGUAUUUGAGGUGCAUCUCUGUCUUUAUUUUACGAAUAGAGCGAUCUCUGGACUACUAGUAUUUGAGGUGCAUCUCUGUCUUUAUUUUACGAAUAGAGCGAUCUCUGGACUACUAGUAUUUGAGGUGCAUCUCUGUCUUUAUUUUACGAAUAGAGCGAUCUCUGGACUACUAGUAUUUGAGGUGCAUCUCUGUCUUUAUUUUACGAAUAGAGCGAUCUCUGGACUACUAGUAUUUGAGGUGCAUCUCUGUCUUUAUUUUACGAAUAGAGCGAUCUCUGGACUACUAGUAUUUGAGGUGCAUCUCUGUCUUUAUUUUACGAAUAGAGCGAUCUCUGGACUACUAGUAUUUGAGGUGCAUCUCUGUCUUUAUUUUACGAAUAGAGCGAUCUCUGGACUACUAGUAUUUGAGGUGCAUCUCUGUCUUUAUUUUACGAAUAGAGCGAUCUCUGGACUACUAGUAUUUGAGGUGCAUCUCUGUCUUUAUUUUACGAAUAGAGCGAUCUCUGGACUACUAGUAUUUGAGGUGCAUCUCUGUCUUUAUUUUACGAAUAGAGCGAUCUCUGGACUACUAGUAUUUGAGGUGCACUGCUGUCUUUAUUUUAAGAAUAGAGCGAUCUCUGGACUACUCGUAUUUGAGGUGCAUCGAUGUCUUUAUUUUACGAAUAGAGCGAUCUCUGGACUACUCGUAUUUGAGGUGCAUCUCUGUCUUUAUUUUACAAAUAGAGCGAUCUCUGGACUACUAGUAUUUGAGGUGCAUCUCUGUCUUUAUUUUACGAAUAGAUCGAUCUCUGGACUACUAGUAUUUGAGGUGCAUUGCUGUCUUUAUUUUACGAAUAGAGCGAUCUCUGGACUACUAAACCAGAUGUGUAAUCCAGAUGCGGAACUUUGGUUUUAGAAGUGGGGACGGACACAACCCCGGCCGUCCUUUCGCGUGGUUCUAAAUCCUGCCCUCUAAAACCGCUAGAAACAUUCCGCUGAGGCGUCCGCAUGGUCCUAAAGCACGACAGGCACUGCUUUUUGUAUCACAGUGGAAUUAUAAAACUCAUACAAAAACUAAAUUACAGAUUGUCGGGGCAUCCGGUCCCAAGAGAAAAUUCCACCCCUGGUUUAAUCUCUGCAUGUCUGUGUUUCAAUAUGUGUGAAAUACAUCCAGUCAUGCAAUUCAGUCACAAUUUCACACACAGAAACAGUUCUAUGCAUACCUAAAUACAGUACAUUCUAAACAUGGAAUGUUGAGAAAUAAACUGAAGUAAGCACCAUGUUUAGGUAAGAAUCUUCUAUCUGAUUCUUACCAUUGAUGAUGAUAUUUGAU